CACUAGCACUGCCUGAAUAUAGCAUUUGCAAUUGGCUGGAGGUGGAUCCUGCCCACCGGCAAUUUUGUGGCAGAUCACACACGACAGGUAGAUCGAUGCUUUUAAGAGUUUCAAGCUGGGAAAGGAAAAAUGUGAUGAAGAAGGUCGAAGAGAACCCAAGGGUUCACAGAUGCUCAGGGCUCGGCCUUUGGACACGAGUCUGCUGAGUCUUGUCAGCACAGUAAAGCGUUCCUUCCUUGCCUCCCCUCCAGGCUGGCUUUGAACUGGGGAUCCUGCAUUCAGCCUCUCUAAUACCUGGGAUUAUAAUAUGCACCACUGCCCCGGGCUAGGUUGAUGUUUUGUCAUCCUGAAUGACACCAGAUCGUUGGGAAGGAGCUGGACCUUUUUCUACCUUGGGAGGACCUCUGCAACCUCCAGCUUCAGCAGCAACCCCCGACCUCCGCAUCAACCCCAGCCUCUACAUCAGCCCUAGCCUCUGUAUUGGGAAGCUGACUCCACCCUUCAAAACCCAAGAAGUUAAUCUUCUAAGGCUUCUGUGGAAAGCAGUGUCACUGAAAUGUGAGAUGUGCCUUUUCACAAAGGAGUCUUGACCAAUCUACUAAAUCGACCACAAUGGCAGGAUCUGCAACAGUGUGUAUCAUCAGUAGAACAUUUUGAGAUAGGAACCAUGGUCCAGUUGCCAAGAUGAUGAGUGCCAGGAGGAUCAGGCAUUAGUGCCAUAGUCAAAGGUGCUUGACCUUUGGAUUUUGGCUGUUGUAAAUCCAGUUUGAAAUGACAUUUGAUAAAAGUUCCAGUGCCCGAUGAAACUGUCAUUGCAUGGAUAUUACAGUUUCUCUGAUUUUUCAAAGGUGAGAUUUGGUGUUAAUGUGGGGUACAUUUUUUUAAUGAACUCAGAGUUUCACUGAAGACUGGCUAUUGUGUG